rnacentral:rRNA from 1 species
UACGUAGGGAGCAAGCGUUGUCCGGAAUCAUUGGGCGUAAAGCGCGCGUAGGUGGCUAUGUAAGUCCGUUGUGAAAGUCAAAGGCUCAACCUUUGAAAGCCGAUGGAUACUGCAUAGCUAGAGUACGGAAGAGGCGAGUGGAAUUCCUGGUGUAGCGGUGGAAUGCGCAGAUAUCAGGAGGAACACCAAUAGCGAAGGCAGCUCGCUGGGACGUUACUGACACUGGGGCGCGAAAGCGUGGGGAGCGAACAGG